rnacentral:rRNA from 1 species
AUUGAACGCUGGCGGAAUGCUUUACACAUGCAAGUCGAACGGCAGCACGGACUUCGGUCUGGUGGCGAGUGGCGAAUGGGUGAGUAAUGUAUCGGAACGUGCCCAGUCGUGGGGGAUAACGUAGUGAAAAUUACGCUAAUACCGCAUACGAUCUAUGGAUGAAAGCGGGGGACCGCAAGACCUCGCGCGAUUGGAGCGGCCGAUAUCAGAUUAGGUAGUUGGUGGGGUAAAGGCCCACCAAGCCAACGAUCUGGAGCUGGUCUGAGAGGACGACCAGCCACACUGGAACUGAGACACGGUCCAGACUCCUACGGGAGGCAGCAGUGGGGAAUUUUGGACAAUGGGCGAAAGCCUGAUCCAGCCAUUCCGCGUGCAGGAUGAAGGCCCUCGGGUUGUAAACUGCUUUUGUACAGAACGAAAAGGUUUCUACUAAUACUAGGAGCUCAUGACGGUACUGUAAGAAUAAGCACCGGCUAACUACGUGCCAGCAGCCGCCGCGG